GUGAAUCAUCGAAUCUUUGAACGCACAUUGCGCCCGGUGGUAUUCCGCCGGGCAUGCCUGUUCGAGCGUCUCUAUCAACCAUCACGCCCCGUCGUGGAACUGGGGAUUGCAGUGUGCUGCAGCCCUAAAUCUCAUAUGCGAUACCGGUUGGUUCUAUGCGUAGUACAUACCCCGCUACAGAACUUUAACUGGACCCGUCGGCAGUAAAUGGUGCAAGCCCAUUCUAAGGUUGACCUCGAAUCAAGUAGGGAUACCCGCUGAACUUAAGCAUAUCAAUAAGCGGAGGA
rnacentral:misc_RNA from 1 species